rnacentral:rRNA from 1 species
AGUGAACGCUGGCGGUAGGCCUAACACAUGCAAGUCGAACGGCAGCACAGUAAGAGCUUGCUCUUACGGGUGGCGAGUGGCGGACGGGUGAGGAAUACAUCGGAAUCUACUUUUUCGUGGGGGAUAACGUAGGGAAACUUACGCUAAUACCGCAUACGACCUACGGGUGAAAGCAGGGGAUCUUCGGACCUUGCGCGAUUGAAUGAGCCGAUGUCGGAUUAGCUAGUUGGCGGGGUAAAGGCCCACCAAGGCGACGAUCCGUAGCUGGUCUGAGAGGAUGAUCAGCCACACUGGAACUGAGACCCGGUCCAGACUCCUACGGGAGGCAGCAGUGGGGCAUAUUGGACCAUGGGCGCAAGCCUGAUCCAGCCAUACCGCGUGGGUGAAGAAGGCCUUCGGGUUGUAAAGCCCUUUUGUUGGGAAAGAAAAGCAGCAGGUUAAUACCCCGCUGUUCUGACGGUACCCAAAGAAUACGCACCGGCUAACUUCG